CUGUCGAUUUUCCCAACGCCGAUGACCUCACCGUAACGUCUCAACCUUUUCUUUAGAUCAAAGCCAAUAAAAAGACGAAUCACUAUUCAACUUCCUCAGUUCCCCUCAUAUGAAUCCCUAAAGCUACUCAAACAACCACUAACAAGCCUUAAGCUACAAUAAUAGUUAUAACAAAAUUCAAAUCAAACGUCCCCUUUCACGCGUCUAAGAAUUCUUCUGCAAUAACCUAGGGCUCACAAUAAGUUUUUCCUCUCACAAUGUUUCUGAUGAGUUUUGUUUGCAAAGCACCAAACCUUCACCAUCUCUCGCAUUUUCCCAGAGCGAGAGCUUGCACCUAUGCCAGCCUUCGUUGUAAAGGUGCACAGGUCCCCGAAGCAGCACAGCCUGAAGUUGUGACACCAUGAUCAGAUGGUAAAGUUGAUAACAUUUGCAACAAUGGACAAGCGACAACUACAUCUGAUGGUUCACUUGCCGGACGUUCAGCAUCAGCCAAAGAACCAGGUGCUUUGGAUGAGAAGGACCCGAAGGAAGCACGUGUGGAGUGAGUCCAGUAUGAGGACUUAUACAACCACGUCUUCUCCUUAUCAAAUAAUGCUUCAGCAUCUUUCAUUUUCCUUUAAAUCUAUUUCCUUUUUUUUUUUAAACUCAAUGUGAUGGUUCUU